UACGGAGGGCGCGAGCGUUGUCCGGAUUUAUUGGGCGUAAAGAGCUCGUAGGCGGCUUGUUGCGUCGGCUGUGAAAACCCAUGGCUCAACCGUGGGCUUGCAGCCGAUACGGGCAGGCUAGAGUUCGGUAGGGGAGACUGGAAUUCCUGGUGUAGCGGUGAAAUGCGCAGAUAUCAGGAGGAACACCGGUGGCGAAGGCGGGUCUCUGGGCCGAUACUGACGCUGAGGAGCGAAAGCGUGGGGAGCGAACAGG
rnacentral:rRNA from 1 species